UACAGAGGGUGCAAGCGUUGCUCGGAAUUAUUGGGCGUAAAGGGCAGGUAGGUGGUCAUAUUUGCCUAGGGUGAAAUCCCGGAGCUUAACUUCGGAAGUGCCUUAGAAACGGUAUGACUAGAGUCCUAGAGAGGUUUGUGGAAUUUCCCCGGUGUAGCGGUGAAAUGCUUAGAGAUGACAUAGAACACCCAUUGCGAAGGCAGCUUACUACGCCUAUAUUGACGCUGAGCACGAAAGCGUGGGGAUCAAACAGG
rnacentral:rRNA from 1 species